rnacentral:rRNA from 1 species
CGGUUACGAUCGGUUGACAGGUGGUGCAUGGUUGUCGUCAGCUCGUGUCGUGAGAUGUUGGUUAAGUCCGCAACGAGCGCAACCCCUAUUGUUAGUUGCCAUCAUUCAGUUGGGCACUCUAGCGAGACUGCCGGUAAUAAACCGGAGGAAGGUGGGGAUGACGUCAAAUCAUCAUGCCCCUUAUGACCUGGGCUACACACGUGCUACAAUGGUUGGUACAACGAGUUGCGAGUCGGUGACGGCGAGCUAAUCUCUUAAAGCCAAUCUCAGUUCGGAUUGUAGGCUGCAACUCGCCUACAUGAAGUCGGAAUCGCUAGUAAUCGCGGAUCAGCACGCCGCGGUGAAUACGUUCCCGGGCCUU